UACAGAGGGUGCAAGCGUUGUUCGGAAUUCUUGGGCGUAAAGCGCGUGUAGGCGGCUUUGCAAGUCGGGUGUGAAAGCCCUCAGCUCAACUGAGGAAGUGCGCCCGAAACUACAGAGCUGGAGUCUCGGAGAGGAUCGCGGAAUUCUCGGUGUAGAGGUGAAAUUCGUAGAUAUCGAGAGGAACACCGGUGGCGAAGGCGGCGAUCUGGACGAUGACUGACGCUGAGACGCGAAAGCGUGGGGAGCAAACAGG
rnacentral:rRNA from 1 species